UCAUUCUGUGUAAAUAAAAAGAGAAAAUCUAAAAGCUUCCGUCUCUUUCUAUCUAACCUCACCAUAAACGCAGAUAAAAUCCUCAACGAUUUUCACUUAAAUCAAGUUUUAACAUGGUAUCAGAGCCAAGAUCUAGAUGGAUCGGGUAAUUGUCUCUCGUCUAAUGUUACCCUCACACAUUUUCAUCGGAGUUUUGAGGUUCCGCCGUUUCUUCGCAUUUCUGAGAUUUUCCGGCGAGAUUUUUCAGUGUUGACGAUGAAAAUUAGUGCUUUUCUACUAGCACUUGAAUGUUUCUGGUAAAUUGAUCGAACCUAUUUGGUAUUUUCUGAGACGUCUUCCUCAACCUAGGAUUUGGUGGUUUCUGCAAUUGCACAUUCAGUUAGGAUUCGCUUGUCCUUGUCACUAUUUUUUUUCAAGGCUGUUAUUCCUUCCGGUCGCGAAGGAAAUUUGGUACCCCUAGUUAUCUCUUCUCAUUGUUUGAUUGUGUGUAUUUCUUCUGAUUAAUUGUGUACAAAAUGCCGAAUGAUGAUGAUUCUACAUAUGCGUUACCAACUGCUCGUUCUACUACUUCUCGUUCUGUUUUUCAUGAAGAUGAUUAUACGCAUCCAUGUCAUCCCUUUUAUGUGCACCUGUCUGAUGUUUUAGGGUCUUCAUUAGUUUCUGUACCUUUUGAUGGUACUGGGUAUGGGAGUUGGAGAUGAACCAUCCUUGUGUCUUUGUCUGUUAGAAAUAAACUGAAUUUCAUUAAUGGAUCUUUAGUUAAGCCUCCUGACAUUUCUCCCUUGGCGAGACAGUGGCAGAGGUGUAAUGAUUUAGUCGUCUCUUGGUUAACCAGCUCCUUGUCCAAAGAUAUUGCUCGUAGUGUUGAGUACUCUGAACUUGCCAAAGAUAUUUGGAGUGAGUUGGAGGAAAGAUAUGGUCAAGCAGAUGCUGCAAGGGUAUUUGAGCUUAAGAAAGAACUAGCUCACAUCUCACAAGGGUCACUUGAUAUUGCUUCAUAUUUCAACAAAAUCAAGCAAUUGUGGGAUGAAAUUGAUGCCUUGUCAAUAAGUAGAGUCAGGUCCUGUAGCAACUGUGGUUUCAAAUCUGAUUACCAGAAAGAUGAUGAUGUUCAAAAGAUGUAUCAAUUUUUGAUGGGUCUCAAUGAUGUAUAUGUGCAAACUAGAAGGAAUAAAUUCAUGAUUAAGCCUUUUCCAUCUGUGAGCAAUGUCUAUAGUAUAUUGUUGUCAGAUGAGAAGUAAAGGUAGGUCUCUACCUCUCCUCAGUUUCUCCUUACAUCUGCCUCUUUCAAUGCUGGGGUGUCUAAACAAGGCUUUCCUUCCAGAGCUAAUUUUGAUGCUCAAAGAUCCCUUACAUGCAAAUAUUGUAAGAAACCAAGUCACACCAUUGACAAGUGCUACAAACUACAUGGGUAUCCUUCAAAUUUUAAGUUCACAAAAAGGGCCUGGCAGUAGGAAACUGCAGCUCAUGUUGAAGUGAACUCUCCUUGUCCUCCUGCUAAUGAGAAUUCUAAUAUGGUUCCUGAUUCUGUCAAGUCAUCUAAGUUUGGUAAUGCUUCAAUGAUUCCUAGUUUGACACAAGAUCAAUUCUCUCAGCUGAUGAUGCUACUACAACAACCCCAUGUGUGUGCUGAUUCCUCCUCUACUCCUACUCUAAUGGCUUCUGCUAACUUUGCUGGUAAGCUGUUAUCAGAAAGUAUUCUGCUCAAGUCAUGCAUGCUUUCACAAGUUGAUAGUUUUAUUUGGAUAAUAGACUCUGGGGCUUCUGAUCACAUGACUUCUCAUAAGGGUUUACUUUUUAAUUUGCAAACACUACCUAUACGUUGUCUAGUUUCUCUACCAAAUGGUUACAAAUUCAAAGUUCAUUUAGUAGGAUCUUUGACUUUGUUUCCAAAUUUUACAAUUCAUCAUGUUCUUUAUGUUCCUUCUUUACAAUACAAUCUUAUUUCAGUUCAUAAGCUGUUAGAACAAUACAAUGGGAUUGUUCUGUUUACCAGAACUCUUUGUGCUAUACAGGCCCCUUCUCUGAAGAUGCCUCUGGUUCUUGGUAAACUGGACCAUAACCUCUACAAAGUUUUUACUUCCUCAUGUUUCUUCUCCCAGUACCACAUCCAGUUACUCUUCUAGUGUUACUCCCCAUGUCGGUGUUUUCCCUGAGAUACAAGAAAAUGCAAAGAAUGUAAAUGUUGCUGACGCUGAUGCACAUGUAAAUACUUAUGCAAUUCUGAAUAAUAUCAAUAAAAUGGAUGUGGUUUGGCAUUAUAGAAUUAGGCAUAUUUCUUUUUCUAGAAUGAAACACAUCUCUAUGCUUGGUUCACAGUUAUCUCCCAAACAGUCCUUUUCUUACCCAAUAUGUCCACUAGCCAGACAAACAAGAUUCCCAUUUCCUGAUAGUAGUAUACAAUCCACAAAGCCUUUUCAGUUGAUCCAAAUUGACACCUGGGGUCCAUAUCACUCUCCUAUAUAUACUGGCUCUAAAUACUUUAUGACCAUUGUUGAUGGUUUUUCAAGAGCCACUUAGACCCACCUAAUGGGAGCCAAAAGUAAUGCUUUUGUCCUCUUAAAAGCCUUCAUUGCCAUGACUGAAACUCAAUUCCAAUUUAAAGUCCAACAUGUAAGGAGCGAUAAUACCUUAGAGCUGGGAUCCAGCAUUCUUGGAUCAAAAUUCUUUUCUGAGAAAGGGAUAUUGCAUCAGACAACAUGUCCUCACACUCCAUAACAAAAUGGAGUUAUGGUAAGGAAACACAGAUAUCUCUUGGAAACUGCUAGAGAUCUUCUUUUUCAAUCUGGUCUUCCUCUUAGAUUUUGGGGAGACUGCAUACUCGCAGCCACCUAUUUGAUAAAUAAGUUCUCUUCUAGUGUAUUAAAGGACAAGAGUCCCUAUGAGAUCUUAUAUAACAAACUCCCCACAUACUCAAAUCUUAGAUCUUUUGGCUGCUUAUGUUACUCUACUGUCCCAAACACUCAUAGGGACAAACUGCAGCCUAGUGCCAUUCCUUGUGUGUUUAUUGAUUAUCCUUUUGGGAAGAAAGACUAUAAGCUAUAUGAUUUACAAAAUAAAGUCUUUUUUGUCUCUAGAGAUGUUAUAUUUCAUGAACAUGUUUUCGCUUUUGUUCAGUCUGGAUCUACUUCCCCUACUAUGUCACAUUUGCCAUUUUCUGCAUGUUUUGAUCACUCUGUUAAGAAGAAUUCUUCAUUGUUCCAUGAUUUCUUUUACCCUGCUCCAUAAGUUGCAUCUGCUGUUUCUCCUCAUCCAUAUAAUCCUGCUUCUUCUGAUUCUGAAAUAUCUCUGAACACCUCUUCUGCUUCCUCUAAUCUCCCUCUUUCUUUCCAUGAAUCUGAAUUCCCCCCGUUAAGGAGAUCAUCUAGGCCUCACAAUCCUCCUUCUUAUCUGCAAAAUUAUGUCUGCACUCUACCUAAUCCUAGCUCCAGGCCUACCAAUUAAACUGUUAUGUCUACUUCUAGUGAGCAUUAUGCAUUUGAGCCUACUACUUAUUCUCAGGCAGCAGCUUUCCCUGAGUGACAGAAUGCUAUGAGGAAAGAGUUUGAGGCAUUGAAGACUAAUGGUACUUGGGACAAAGUUGAGUUACCCAAGGGCAAGAAGCCAAUUGGCUGCAAAUGGGUAUACAAAAUUAAGUACAAAACUGAUGGGAGUAUAGAACGAUAUAAAGCUAGGUUUGUGGUAAGGGGUGAUAUACAAGUUGAAGGCAUAGACUUCCAUGAAACAUUCUCACUUGUAGUUAAAAUAUCUACUGUUAAAACUUUAAUUGUUGUAGCUGUUAAAAGAAAUUGGCCACUAUUCCAACUAGAUGUUAAUAAUACUUUCUUGUAUGGGGACUUAGAUGAAGAAGUUUUUAUGAAGCUUCCACCCGAUCUUUAAUUAUCUACUGUAUCUCCUACUCCUAUUUCCACCCCUUUGGUCUGUAAACUAAAAAAAUCUUUGUAUGGAUUGAGAUAAGCUUCAAGGCAAUGGUAUGCCAAGUUGUCUCAAUAUUUGUCCUCUAGAGGCUAUGAGCACUCCUUCAAUGACUAUUCACUUUUUACUAAGGGUUCUGGUGAUGCCUUGGUACUCUUAAUGGUAUAUGUUGAUGAUAUCAUCAUCACUGGGACAGAUCUUUGUGAGAUUGCCGCUGUGAAAACCUUCCUCCAUGAUCAGUUUAAAAUUAAGGAUUUAGGCCAUCUUAACUAUUUUCUGGGUAUUGAAGUGUUGUAUUCUGAGGGUGGGGUGUUGUUGCAUCAGAAAAAGUUUGUGCAUGAUCUGCUCAAAGAGUUUCACUCCUAUGAUUGUUCUUCAGUGAUAUCCCCCCUUGAGAUGCAUGACAAGCUGCAGGCUGAUCAUGGUGAUCCCCUGCCCAAUCCUGAGACUUAUAGGUGCUUAGUGGGUAAACUCAAUUUCUUAACCCAUACAAAACCUGACAUUUGCUUUGCAGUGCAACAUUUAAAUUAGUUUAUGCAGAGGCCUUGCCGUCCUCAUAUGCAGGCUGCUUUACGUUUGCUCAGUGAUUGGGGAUCUUACCCGGACAGUAGAAAAUCCAUCAGUGGGUUUUGCAUUUUAUUAGGAGGAUGUCUAGUCGGCUAGAAGUCCAAGAAGCAAUCUGUGGUCUCCUUGUCAUCUGCAGAAGCUGAAUACAGGUCUAUGAGUAAGGCCACUGCUGAAAUCACUUGGGUUUGUAGGCUUCUUUCUGAUUUUGGUGUUAUUUUUUCUUCUCCUGUUAGUCUGUUUUGUGAUAACCAGGUUGCCAUCCACAUUGCUAAGAAUCCUGUCUUCCAUGAUCGCACCAAACACAUUGAAUUGGAUUGUUAUUUUGUUCGCACCAAGUUGAAUGACCGUCUGAUUCAGCUGCUUCACACUUCCAGUGCCAAUCAGCUUGCUGAUAUGUUCACUAAACCUUUGGGAGGAGCUGUUCAUCAUCUGCAUAUUCACAAGUUGGGGGUUAUCUCACCCUCCAACUUGUCGGGGGAUGUUGAGAUACAAGAAAAUGCUAUUACUUAGCCACCUGGGCUAUUAGCCACUUGGGCUACCUUUUCUUUCUUUUACCAUUGGGCCCAGAAGCCCACCUUGUAUUUGUUUUAUUCUGUAGUGUAUUAGUGGGCCGGCCUAUUCCUAGAUAGAGAAAGCUACAUUUGUAAGAGACAGAUUAUUCAUUCUGUGUAAAUGAAAAGAGAGAAAACCUAGAAGCUUCCGUACCUCA